UACGAAGGGUGCAAGCGUUAAUCGGAAUUACUGGGCGUAAAGCGCGCGCAGGCGGCUUUGCAAGACAGAUGUGAAAUCCCCGGGCUCAACCUGGGAACUGCAUUUGUGACUGCAAGGCUAGAGUACGGCAGAGGGGGAUGGAAUUCCGCGUGUAGCAGUGAAAUGCGUAGAUAUGCGGAGGAACACCGAUGGCGAAGGCAAUCCCCUGGACCUGUACUGACGCUCAUGCACGAAAGCGUGGGGAGCAAACAGG
rnacentral:rRNA from 1 species